rnacentral:lncRNA from 1 species
CCCUUUGCACGAGGAGCGGGGGCGUUGCGCAGGGUCCCCGGGUCCCCCCCCCAGUGCGUUGUGCGAGGUGCAGGGGUCCCCUCGUGCGUUGCACGGGGUCUUUGUGUCCCCACGUGUGCGUUGCACAAGUCUCGGGAGUCCCCACGUGCAUUGCACGAGGUGCAGGGGUCCCCUUGUGCAUUGCACGGGGUCCCCUUGUGCGUUGCACAAGUCUGAGGAGUCCCCACGUGCAUUGCACGAGGUGCAGGGGUCCCCUUGUGCGUUGCACGGGGUCCCCUUCUGCAUUGCACAAGUCUCAGGAGUCCCCCCGUGCAUUGUGCGAGGUGCAGGACUCCUCUUGUGCAUUGCGCAGGGUCCCCUCGUGCAUUGCACGGGGUCCCCAUGUGCAUUGCACAAGCCUCAGGAGUCCCCCCGUGCAUUGCGCGAGGUGCAGGGGUCUCCAUGUGCAUUGCAUGAGGUGCAGGACUCCUCUUGUGCGUUGCACAGGGUCUUUGUGUCCCCAUGAUUGUGUUGCACAAGGUGCAGGAGCCCCCGUGUGCAUUGUGCAGGGUCCCCUCGUGCAUUGCACGGGAUCCCCAUGUGCGUUGCACAAGUCUCGGGAGUCCCCACGUGCAUUGCACGAGGUGCAGGGGUCCCCUCGUGCGUUGCACGGGGUCUUUGUGUCCCCGUGUGGGCGUUGCACAAGUCUCGGGAGUCCCCACGUGCAUUGCACGAGGUGCAGGGGUCCCCUCGUGCGUUGCACGGGGUCUUUGUGUCCCCGUGUGGGCGUUGCACAAGUCUCGGGAGUCCCCACGUGCAUUGCGCGAGGUGCAGGACUCCUCUUGUGCAUUGCGCAGGGUCCCCUCAUGCAUUGCACGGGGUCCCCAUGUGCGUUGCACAAGUCUCAGGAGUCCCCACGUGCAUUGCACAAGGUGUGGCGCAGGGUCCCCUUGUGCGUUGCACGGGGUCCCCAUGUGUGUUGCACAGGUUCUUUGUGUCCCCUUGUGCGUUGCACAAGUCUCGGGAGUCCCCACGUGCAUUGCAGGAGGUGUAGGACUCCUCUCGUGCGUUGCACGGGGUAUUUGUGUCCCCAUGUGUGUGUUGCACGAGGUGCAGGGGUCCCCUUGUGCGUUGCACGGGGUCUUUGUGUCCCCAUGUGUGUGUUGCACGAGGUGCAGGGGUCCCUUGUGCGUUGCACGGGGUCCCCAUGUGCGUUGCACAGGCUCUUUGUGUCCCCAGGUGCGUUGCACAAGUCUCAGGAGUCCCCAUGUGCAUUGCACAGGGUCCUCGUGUCCCCACGUGCAUUGCACAAGGUGCAGGAGUGCUCACGUGCGUUGCACGGGGUCCCUGUGCAAGUUGCACGAGGUGCAGGGGGCCCCCUGUGCGUUGCACGUGGUUUUGUGUCCCUUCGUGCAUUGCACAAGUCCCAGGAGCCCCCACGUGCGUCGCA